ensembl:lncRNA
AGCGCAACAGAGAAUUCAACCUAUAUAGCACGACUAUCUUUCGCACUAGUUUAGCUCUUUAGGAUGUAUUAGAUAGAGGUGGGUUCUUUUUGCCAAAUUGUCACACAGCAUUUUGUGUGAUGUGAUGAUCGUGUCAUGAUUUUAAAGCAUCUGUGUAUAUUAAAUAUUCUUUAAUUUUUAAUGUUAUAAUGUUUAUUGUUCCCAAACCCUAAAUUUGGCAUAAUUUUAAGGUUUAAAAUGACAGACUUUGGAUCCCACUGUUUGUAUUCACGGUUCAGUGGUAUUUUUCAUUCAAAUCCUUUGGAGCAUCCAUGCUUUUUCAGAGUAUAUUAAAAACUCUCAUUGCUGAAGAUUUUAGUGUUUUCAGGCUGCCUUUCCCUGUUGUGUUACCUGUAGACUUAGCAGGUGGAGCAGUACAGUGACUUCCCCCCGAGCUCCUCUUGUGGAUUGGCAUCCCCAGAGGCUUUGAAUUAUUCACACAGUCUCCAAGAGAGCAGUACCAAAUCUCAACCAUUUGAGCGGUUCAUGUCUGCAACCACUGCAAACAUUUCUCUGUCACUUUACCUUGAAUGACAGUAUACCCGAACCUUCUCCACAUGGAGGCUGUAGCAUUCACUUUGUUCCCAGAGAUUCUCACUUUCCAUGGUUCGCCUUUUUGAAGUCAAGCUUUGACAACCCCUGGGAUCUCCACUGUGUGCUAAGUCAAACAGUGAGCUGGAAAUUAACUGCAGCGCAAUUUGAAUACAGCCAAAAUUCUCCGAGAAAGAUGCGAAUCUACUUGCGUGCUCCACUUCUUGACAGAUGGGAAAAUGCUGCAUAAUGGUGAGAGAAUAUUAACAUCAUCGUUAUAAUCAAAUUAAUAAUUAUGAUGUCUCUUUUGUGAUCACAUAUUUCUUUAUUUUGACUGUGAGUACUGAUCUGACUCAAGCCGUAAAUCAGUCCGGUUUUCACUCCCAUGUCUUUAAUGGACCAUUUAAUAAUACGGUAAGAUUUAAUCUCUCUCGUAUCAUGGUGUUUGGUCAGAUCAUUUUCAUUUUGUGUGUGUUAUCUAUUAAAAUGCAUAAUGGCUUAAUAAAUCAGUA